CCGAGCCAUCGGAGCCCACAAAGGGCUCUGCUCCGGCCCAUCCGUGUCGAACGUACCUGUUGCCUUGGCCAGACUGCCUGGGACAUGUAGAGGUCCCAGGGCCAGCAUCGGCCAAGGGAGCCGCACCUCUCACAGCUGUUGCUGGGUUGGUGGUGCGGCACCAAAACUCGUCUGUGAAACUUUGCGGUCUGAAGCUCUGAAUAGAUAAUGAGUUA
rnacentral:misc_RNA from 1 species